CCGCUCCGCCCACAUGCAACGUCCCAGAUUUCUUCUCCUCCCUUAAUUUCCAUCUCUUACGCUUAUCAAAGCUAAAUUGCCAUUAAUUGGGCUUUAUUGAGCGUAUUGUGCUCCAGCUUUUCAUCCAUAACGGAUGAAAUCAUUUAGCACCAGCAUUAUUCUCUUCGAUCCAAACCUGAAUAAUCAGGUCAAUUGCUCAUACGUUAGCAAAAUAAAAGAUAGCACCACAAUUUCUGCUGUUAGGCUAUAAAACUCCCCAAAAAGUUAUCUUGCACAAGUUGUCAGUGCUUUCCAAUCUCCCUUCUCUAUCAAGAUUCAUUCAUAUAAGUUUCUCUGAUUUUGAUUUUUUGUAGUUACUGGUGAACAAACAAUUUCUCAAGACAAACCAACAUUCGCUUUAAGUAAAUGUCAUUAUGGGUGAUGAUUGCACUUGAUGAACCUGAUAUUGGGGUUGCUGGGAUCAAUUUGAUGCACACUGAAAGUCUCUAGGAGUAGGAAGACAGGAGAGGAUGAGCAGGCAUAACAACAUUCACAAUAAUAGGAUGAACAGACGUAUACUGACAAUUUUCAGAUGAGCUGACAUCCAAAGGAAUGAUGGAUAGAUUAUAUUCGAAUGAAUGGACAAAGAUCUACAAAUCGUUGAACGAUGGUAGGACUCAGGAGAUUAUGGUUCUUUCCUCUGGCUUGCUUCCUACAUUGUAAGUAAUUAUGAUUAUAAAAUGUAUCUUGAUUUUCUAUAGUUACGUUAGUAGUGAUGGGGAAAAGAAACGAAGAAUCUUAGAAGUGCUUUAUAUAAGACAAAGAUCAUGCAUGGUUGCGUCUGAUAUCUCAAAGGCUUUGGCUCAUUACUUGCAUGAAUUUGCUCUUUAGAUGCAUCUCAAAAGCUGGUAUGCUUUUAGCCAUUACCUACUUUACCACUCGCUUACUUGAUUUUUUAAUCUCUUUGCCUAAUGAGACUGCGGAAAGUUAUUACAACUAUUGCAACUGUUAAAGAUUCACAAGACAAGAAAUUCGUGCGUGAAGAAGACGAAUACUAACAAAUAGUGGUGGAAUUGAUUCCUCCAGUUCAAUUAGUUCAUCCACUUCGAUCGACUUUACCGUAACCACAACAAUAUGAGAGUUGGGGUGAAAACUGAUAAUUUAUAUUAUGUUGUUACACACAUUUUUGACCAGUUCAAUCAUGUUCUUGCAACAAUAUUAGUCCAGUUCAAUUACACACAUUUUAGACCUUCACUCAUUAGUUAAAUAUUCAAUGUUCUUACAUAAUCAUUUGUAUGAUAGAGUUUCGUGCACACCUAUCCUUGGAAAUGUCAGCUGAGUGGUUCUUUAUACCGUGAAUUCAUUUUGUAGUAUACGAUAUAUAUGCCAAUGAUGGAUUCUUUUUUUUGGUUCUCUUGACACGUUAAUAUUGAGUAGUAUACGUACAUUUUUUGUUUGAAAA